UGAAGAACAUACAAAAAAAAUUAACUGAAACAAGAAAAAACAAUUAAAAUGUUUGAAUAAAUAAAUUCAAUGGUGGGAUUUUUUUCCAUGAAGCUAUAGCACCACAUUUAUAUUAAUUUUAAUAUAAAAUCUAUUCAGAUAGCAUCACAGUUUAAAAAUAUCAGCAUUAUACCAAGGUGCAAUAAGGCCCUGGGGGUCACGUAAUACAUGUUGUGAGAUUGUUAAAAUUAAUGAAUUACUUAGUUAUGUUCAAUUAUUUACUUUAAUCAUUAGAUCAUCAUUAAACUCUGGGACAUGUGGUCAAUGACAAUU
rnacentral:lncRNA from 1 species